rnacentral:rRNA from 1 species
GACGAACGCUGGCGGCGUGCUUAACACAUGCAAGUCGUACGGUAAGGCCCUUUCGGGGGUACACGAGUGGCGAACGGGUGAGUAACACGUGAGUAACCUGCCCACAACUUUGGGAUAACACUAGGAAACUGGUGCUAAUACUGGAUAUGUGCUCCUGCUGCAUGGUGGGGGUUGGAAAGCUCCGGCGGUUGUGGAUGGACUCGCGGCCUAUCAGCUUGUUGGUGGGGUAGUGGCCUACCAAGGCGGCGACGGGUAGCCGGCCUGAGAGGGUGACCGGCCACAUUGGGACUGAGAUACGGCCCAGACUCCUACGGGAGGCAGCAGUGGGGAAUAUUGCACAAUGGGCGCAAGCCUGAUGCAGCAACGCCGCGUGCGGGAUGACGGCCUUCGGGUUGUAAACCGCUUUCAGCAGGGACGAAGCUUUUUGUGACGGUACCUGCAGAAGAAGCACCGGCUAACUACGUG